rnacentral:rRNA from 1 species
GACGAACGCUGGCGGCGUGCUUAACACAUGCAAGUCGAGCGAUGAAAGCCUUAUGAACUAUUCGUAGUGAUUGGGGCCGGAUUAGCGGCGGACGGGUGAGUAACGCGUGAGCAACCUGCCUUAAACAACGGGAUAGCCUCGGGAAACCGGGAUUAAUACCGUAUGAGACCCCGCCUUCACAUGAAGAAGAGGUUAAAGAUUUAUCGGUUUAAGAUGGGCUCGCGUCUGAUUAGCUAGUUGGUGAGAUAAAAGCCCACCAAGGCAACGAUCAGUAACCGGCUUGAGAGAGUGAACGGUCACAUUGGAACUGAGACACGGUCCAAACUCCUACGGGAGGCAGCAGUGGGGAAUAUUGCACAAUGGGGGAAACCCUGAUGCAGCGACGCCGCGUGAGCGAUGAAGGAAUUCGUUUCGUAAAGCUCUGUCCAAGGGGAAGAUAAUGACAGUACCCUUGGAGGAAGCCCCGGCUAACUCCGUGCCAGCAGCCGCAGUAA